UGAUAAACGCAAGGGUGAGCGUGU
rnacentral:siRNA from 1 species